rnacentral:misc_RNA from 1 species
GAUGAAGAACGGAGCGAAAUGCGAUAAGUAAUGUGAAUUGCAGAAUUCAGUGAAUCAUCGAAUCUUUGAACGCACAUUGCGCCCCCUGGUAUUCCGGGGGGCAUGCCUGUCCGAGCGUCAUUACAACCCUCAAGCUCAGCUUGGUGUUGGGCCCCGCCGCCCCGGCGGGCCCUAAAGUCAGUGGCGGUGCCGUCCGGCUCCGAGCGUAGUAAUUCUUCUCGCUCUGGAGGUCCGGUCGUGUGCUCGCCAGCAACCCCCAAUUUUUUUCAGGUUGACCUCGGAUCAGGUAGGGAUACCCGCUGAACUUAAGCAUAUCAAUAAGCGGAGGA